rnacentral:snRNA from 8 species
UAUACUAAAAUUGGAUCGAUACAGAGAAGAUUAGCAUGGCCCCUGCGAAAGGAUGACACGCAAAUCCGUGAAGCGCUCCUUAUUUUC